GACGAACGCUGGCGGCGUGCUUAACACAUGCAAGUCGAACGGAAAGGCCCUGCUUUUGUGGGGUGCUCGAGUGGCGAACGGGUGAGUAACACGUGAGUAACCUGCCCUUGACUUUGGGAUAACUUCAGGAAACUGGGGCUAAUACCGGAUAGGAGCUCCUGCUGCAUGGUGGGGGUUGGAAAGUUUCGGCGGUUGGGGAUGGACUCGCGGCUUAUCAGCUUGUUGGUGGGGUAGUGGCUUACCAAGGCUUUGACGGGUAGCCGGCCUGAGAGGGUGACCGGCCACAUUGGGACUGAGGUAAGGCCCAGAAUCCUAAGGGAGGCAGCAGUGGGGAAUAUUGCACCAUGGGCGGAAGCCUGAUGCAGCAACGCCGCGUGCGGGAUGACGGCCUUCGGGUUGUAAACCGCUUUCGCCUGUGACGAAGCGUGAGUGACGGUAAUGGGUAAAGAAGCACCGGCUAACUACGUU
rnacentral:rRNA from 1 species